rnacentral:rRNA from 1 species
AUUGAACGCUGGCGGCAUGCCUAACACAUGCAAGUCGAACGGAGCGGCGAACGGGUGAGUAAUGAAUAGGAAUCUGCCCGGUAGUGGGGGAUAACUUCCGGAAAGGGGAGCUAAUACCGCAUAAUAUCAGAGCGGCCUAGGUCGGAUUAGCUAGUUGGUGGGGUAAAGGCCUACCAAGGCGACGAUCCGUAGCUGGUCUGAGAGGAGGAUCAGUCACACGGGAACUGAGACACGGCCCAGACUCCUACGGGAGGCAGCAGUGGGGAAUAUUGGACAAUGGGCGAAAGCCUGAUCCAGCCAUGCCGCGUGUGUGAAGAAGGUCUUCGGAUUGUAAAGCACUUUAAGUAGGGAAGCGUGAUCUACAGAAUAAGCACCGGCUAACUUCGUGCCAGCAGCCGCGGUAAUAC